UGCCCAGCAACUCCUAUCCCUUCUUCCUCGUGGUACUAGCCGGAGUACGAUCAACCUUAGGGAAGAUCUGGUAACCAACCACAGUGGGAAUUUCGGUAUGCUGACAUAGAAGG
rnacentral:ribozyme from 1 species